CGAUGUCGCGUGAGUGAAGAAGGCCUUUGGGUUGUAAAGCUCUUUCGUCGGGGAAGAAAAUGACUGUACCCGAAUAAGAAGGUCCGGCUAACUUCGUGCCAGCAGCCGCGGUAAUACGAAGGGACCUAGCGUAGUUCGGAAUUACUGGGCUUAAAGAGUUCGUAGGUGGUUGAAAAAGUUGGUGGUGAAAGCCCAAAGCUUAACUCUGGAACUGCCAUCAAAACUUUUCAGCUAGAGUAUGAUAGAGGAAAGCAGAAUUUCUAGUGUAGAGGUGAAAUUCGUAGAUAUUAGAAAGAAUACCGAUUGCGAAGGCAGCUUUCUGGAUCAUUACUGACACUGAGGAACGAAAGCAUGGGUAGCGAAGAGGAUUAGAUACCCUCGUAGUCCAUGCCGUAAACGAUGUGUGUUAGACGUUGGAAAUUUAUUUUCAGUGUCGCAGCGAAAGCGAUAAACACACCGCCUGGGGAGUACGACCGCAAGGUUA
rnacentral:rRNA from 1 species